AUUACUUACCAUCUUUAUCUGUAAGACCUGUUCCAGGAAGGAGCUAAUAACAUAAGAUAGCUAUAGUAUAAUGCAAAAUAGUGUGAUAGAAAGGCACCAACAAGC